rnacentral:rRNA from 1 species
UCCACGCCGUAACCUAUGAUCACUCGUUGUCUGCGAUACACGGUAGGCGACUGAGCGAAAGCAUUAAGUGAUCCACCUGGGGAGUACGUUGGCAACAAUGAAGCUCAAAGGAAUUGACGGGGGCCCGCACAAGCGGAGGAACAUGUGGUUUAAUUCGAUGAUACGCGAGGAACCUUACCCGGGUUUAAA